UACGAGGGGUGCAAGCGUUGCUCGGAAUUAUUGGGCGUAAAGGGUAGGUAGGUGGUCUCAUUUGUCUGGGGUGAAAUCCUUGAGCUUAACUCAAGAAGUGCCUCAGAAACGGUGAGACUAGAGUACUGGAGAGGGUCGUGGAAUUCCCGGUGUAGCGGUGAAAUGCGUAGAGAUCGGGAGGAACACCAGCGGCGAAGGCGGCGACCUGGACAGUAACUGACACUCAACUACGAAAGCGUGGGGAGCAAACAGG
rnacentral:rRNA from 1 species